CCUACGGGGGGCUGCAGUGGGGAAUAUUGCACAAUGGGCGCAAGCCUGAUGCAGCCAUGCCGCGUGUGUGAAGAAGGCCUUCGGGUUGUAAAGCACUUUCAGCGGGGAGGAAGGCGGUGAGGUUAAUAACCUCAUCGAUUGACGUUACCCGCAGAAGAAGCACCGGCUAACUCCGUGCCAGCAGCCGCGGUAAUACGGAGGGUGCAAGCGUUAAUCGGAAUUACUGGGCGUAAAGCGCACGCAGGCGGUCUGUCAAGUCGGAUGUGAAAUCCCCGGGCUCAACCUGGGAACUGCAUUCGAAACUGGCAGGCUAGAGUCUUGUAGAGGGGGGUAGAAUUCCAGGUGUAGCGGUGAAAUGCGUAGAGAUCUGGAGGAAUACCGGUGGCGAAGGCGGCCCCCUGGACAAAGACUGACGCUCGGGUGCGAAAGCGUGGGGAGCAAACAGGAUUAGAUACCCUUGUAGUC
rnacentral:rRNA from 1 species